GACGAACGCUGGCGGCGUGCUUAACACAUGCAAGUCGAACGCUGAAGCUCAGCUUUUGUUGGGUGGAUGAGUGGCGAACGGGUGAGUAACACGUGAGUAACCUGCCCCCUUCUUUGGGAUAACGCCCGGAAACGGGUGCUAAUACUGGAUAUUCACUGGUCUUCGCAUGGGGGUUGGUGGAAAGGGUUUUUCUGGUGGGGGAUGGGCUCGCGGCCUAUCAGCUUGUUGGUGGGGUGAUGGCCUACCAAGGCUUUGACGGGUAGCCGGCCUGAGAGGGUGACCGGUCACAUUGGGACUGAGCUGCGGCCCAGACUCCUACGGGGGGCAGCAGUGGGGAAUAUUGCACAAUGGGCGCAAGCCUGAUGCAGCGACGCCGCGUGAGGGAUGGAGGCCUUCGGGUUGUGAACCUCUUUCGCUCAUGGUCAAGCCGCAACAAUGGUUGUGGUGAGGGUAGUGGGUAAAGAAGCGCCGGCUAACUACGUG
rnacentral:rRNA from 1 species